CCUACGGGAGGCAGCAGUGAGGAAUAUUGGUCAAUGGGCGCGAGCCUGACCCAGCCACGCAGCGUGAAGGAUGAAUGCCCUCCGGGUUGUAACCUUCUUUUAUAAGGGAAUAAAGUGAGGCACGUGUGCCUUUUUGAAUGUACUUUAUCUAUAAGGAUCGGCCCACUCCAUGCCAGCAGACGCGGUAAUACGGAGGCUUAGAGCGUUGUCCGGAUUUAUUGGGUUUAAAGGGAGCGUAGAUGGGUUGUUAAGUCAGUUGUGAAAGUUUUGGGCUCAACCGUAAAAUUGCAAUUGAUACUGGCAGUCUUGAGUGCAGUGGAGGUAGGCGGAAUUCGUGGUGUAGCGGUGAAAUGCUUAGAUAUCACGAAGAACUCCGAUUGCGAAGGCAGCUUACUAAACUGCCACUGACAUUGAGGCUCGAAAGUGUGGGUAUCAAACAGGAUUAGAUACCCCUGUAGUC
rnacentral:rRNA from 1 species